rnacentral:rRNA from 1 species
CUUUGAACGCACCUUGCNCUCCCUGGUAUUCCGGGGAGACGCCCGUUUGAGUGUCAUGGUAUUCUCAACCUCUAUAACUUUUGUUAUUGAGGCUUGGACUUGGAGGUUGUGCUGGCUCUCGUUAGUCGGCUCCUCUUAAAUGCAUUAUCUGGAACGUU